UACAGAGGUCUCAAGCGUUGUUCGGAUUCAUUGGGCGUAAAGGGUGCGUAGGCGGCGCGGUAAGUCGGGUGUGAAAUCUCGGAGCUUAACUCCGAAACUGCAUUCGAUACUGCCGUGCUUGAGGACUGGAGAGGAGACUGGAAUUUACGGUGUAGCAGUGAAAUGCGUAGAGAUCGUAAGGAAGACCAGUGGCGAAGGCGGGUCGUCUGGACAGUUCCUGACACUGAGGCACGAAGGCCAGGGGAGCAAACGGG
rnacentral:rRNA from 1 species